ensembl:snRNA U6 U6 spliceosomal RNA
GAGCCAGAACGCACAUACACUAAAAUUGGAACGAUAGAGAAGAUUAGCAUGGUUCCUGCGCAAGGAUGACACACAAAUUCGUGAAGCAUUGCAUAUUUAA